rnacentral:rRNA from 1 species
AGCGUCCGUAGCCUGCCGUACGGGUCCGUCGGGAAAUCCGCCCGCUUAACGGGCGGACGUCCGGCGGAAACCAUACGGCUUGGGACCAGAGGACCCGAGGGGUACGUCGGGGGUAGGAGUGAAAUCCCGAGAUCCUCGACGGACCGCCGGUGGCGAAAGCGCCUCGGGAAGAUGGAUCCGACGGUCAGGGACGAAAGCUUGGGUCUCGAACCGGAUUAGAUACCCGGGUAGUCCAAGCUGUAAACGAUGCUCGCUAGGUGUGGCGUAGGCUACGAGCCUGCGCUGUGCCAAAGGGAAGCCACGAAGCGAGCCGCCUGGGAAGUACGUCUGCAAGGAUGAAACUUAAAGGAAUUGGCGGGGGAGCACUACAACGGGAGGAGCCUGCGGUUUAAUUGGACUCAACGCCGGACAUCUCACCGGUUCCGACUCUGGGAGUGAAGGUCAGCUUGACGAGCUUACUAGACCCAGAGAGAGGUGGUGCAUGGCCGCCGUCAGCUCGUACCGUGAGGCGUCCUGUUAAGUUAGGCAACGAGCGAGACCCGUGUCCGUAGUUGCCAGCAGCACGUUCAGUGGCUGGGUACACUACGGAGACUGCCUCCGCUAAGGAGGAGGAAGGAGCGGGCAACGGUAGGUCAGUAUGCCCCGAAUGAACCGGGCAACACGCGGGCUACAAUGGCACGGACAGCGGGAUGCAGCCCCGAGAGGGGUAGCUAAUCCCACAAACCGUGUCUCAGUUCGGAUUGAGGACUGAAACCCGUCCUCAUGAAGUUG